rnacentral:rRNA from 1 species
UACGUAGGGUGCAAGCGUUGUCCGGAAUUAUUGGGCGUAAAGAGCUCGUAGGCGGUUUGUCGCGUCGAAUGUGAAAACCCGGGGCUCAACCCCGGGCCUGCAUUCGAUACGGGCAGACUAGAGUUCGGUAGGGGAGUCUGGAAUUCCUGGUGUAGCGGUGAAAUGCGCAGAUAUCAGGAGGAACACCGGUGGCGAAGGCGGCCAGCUGGGUCGUCCCUGACGCUGAGGCGCGAAGGCGUGGGGAGCGAACGGG